rnacentral:tRNA from 2 species
UCCCUGGUGGUCUAGUGGUUAGGAUUAGGUGCUCUCACUGCCGCGGCCCGGGUUCGAUUCCCGGUCAGGGAA